rnacentral:rRNA from 1 species
UACGUAGGGUGCGAGCGUUGUCCGGAUUUAUUGGGCGUAAAGAGCUCGUAGGCGGUUUGUCGCGUCGGCCGUGAAAUCUCCACGCUUAACGUGGAGCGUGCGGUCGAUACGGGCAGACUUGAGUUCGGUAGGGGAGACUGGAAUUCCUGGUGUAGCGGUGAAAUGCGCAGAUAUCAGGAGGAACACCGGUGGCGAAGGCAGGUCUCUGGGCCGAUACUGACGCUGAGGAGCGAAAGCUAGGGGAGCGAAUGGG